ACUUUCAAGAAGCUUAGGAAUAUCUAAAGACAUGCAAAAAGAUUAAGUCAAUAAUUGAUUUCAUCAUCAUGGAAAAUCAUAUGCCGGGUAUGAGGGGGCUUCACUUCAUAAAAAUGCUCUCAAAGGAAAACAUUAAAAUUCCUUUUAUUAUCACAUCUCAUGAUUACACUGAGGUAUAAGCCUACAGCUGGAGCAUCUGAAUAUUGGCAAAAGAGCUAACCAUCACCUCAAUAUGAUGGCAGCCGAGGCAACAAAAAGGAAAAGAAUAACAUGGAGUGAAGAAAUGAAACAUCNAUUUAAUCAAGUUGUGACUAACAUGGGGUUACAGGGGUUACAAAAUCCGACAGCAAAGCAAAUACAUCAGGCAUNGAAUAUGCUGAUGUGGAGGUGAAACACGUGUCUAAUCAUUUGAAGACCAAAAAAACAGGAACAACAAAAUUAUUAGAAACAAAAUAUUAGCAGGAGCAAUAUUUGUUUCAAAAUAAUUUUUUUUGACUUGUAUCUCAUUUUUGUCCAAUAUAAAACUUAGAGUUCAUUUAGAUU